CACGUAGGGUGCGAGCGUUGUCCGGAAUUAUUGGGCGUAAAGAGCUCGUAGGCGGUGUGUCGCGUCGGCCGUGAAAACCUGCAGCUUAACUGUGGGCUUGCGGGCGAUACGGGCAGACUGGAGUACUGCAGGGGAGACUGGAAUUCCUGGUGUAGCGGUGGAAUGCGCAGAUAUCAGGAGGAACACCGGUGGCGAAGGCGGGUCUCUGGGCAGUAACUGACGCUGAGGAGCGAAAGCGUGGGGAGCAAACAGG
rnacentral:rRNA from 1 species